GUGCGGUUUAUUACUUUUGUAGGCUGACUGCCAGUACUUAGAUUUAUCGUUCCUUGAAAAUGGACCUUUUAAAAUGUUUUCUCACGGGUCUCGCUCUGUCACCCAGGCUGGAGGAGUGUGGUGGCAUGAUCUUGGCUUACUUCAACCUUUACCUCUGUUUCAAGGGAUUCUCAUGCCUCAGCCUCCUGAGUAGCUAAGAUUACAGAACCAAGGUUCCAUGCUGACUUCAUGAAAUAAAUUAUUGGAGUGGGAAGAAGAACACAGUGCAGAGGCUGAGUGGUCCAAAAAAAAAAAAAGCUUCUCCAUUCUCCACACCAUCAAACACUGUGAUCACAAUGGAGGACUUUACAAUCACCAUCUUUAUAGCUGGUUUAUGAUGCAAUGACUCCAUGUAUCAAUAUAAUUCUUUGCCAAGAGAAUUUGUAUGGUUCAAUUCUUGGGUGAAUAAAAACACUACCUGGUUUAAAAAUA